CCUACGGGAGGCUGCAGUAGGGAAUAUUGCUCAAUGGGGGAAACCCUGAAGCAGCAACGUCGCGUGGAGGAUGAAGGUCCUCGGAUUGUAAACCCCUUUUGUUAGAGAAGAUAAUGACGGUAUCUAACGAAUAAGCACCGGCUAACUCCGUGCCAGCAGCCGCGGUAAUACGGCGGGUGCAAGCGUUACUCGGAAUCACUGGGCGUAAAGAGCGCGUAGGCGGGUUAGCAAGUCAGAUGUGAAAUCCUAUGGCUUAACCAUAGAACUGCAUUUGAAACUGUUAUUCUAGAGUAUGGGAGAGGUAGGUGGAAUUCGUGGUGUAGCGGUAAAAUGCGUAGAGAUCAAGCAGAAUACUGAUUGCGAAGGCAACCUGCUAGAACAUAACUGACGCUGAGGCGCGAAAGCGUGGGGAGCAAACAGGAUUAGAUACCCUAGUAGUC
rnacentral:rRNA from 1 species